UUGGCUAAGUAAAUCUACAAAAAAGAAAAAAAUAUUAAUAGCUUUUGCGAAGCUGAAAUAAGAUCUUAAGAAAACAUUAAAAACGUACCAUUUGUUAAUAUUUAGUCGUUUCCCGCCACACCGUUGUAGCUAUCUGACCGUGUAGCACCUGAGCUAAUUGAUGAAUGAAAGUAAUUAGGAAAUAAUACAUUGAAGACUUUUGUCUGAGAUGAUUGGUGAAAAAAAAAAAAAAUCCCUGUGUCAGUCCAACAUCAGUAUUAAUGAGCCGUCAUCUUCACACAAACUCUAAUUAGCAGCACUUUCUGCUCUUCCACAGGUUUAUCAUCAUUAGCCAAGCCUGGACUGAUCCUGGAUCUGGACCCGUGGGUGGCGGUCAUGUGAGGAGCUGGUCCCCUGAGUCAUCGGGUGAGGGCAGCAACCUGUGACACCCUGUAAUCUUCCUGGUUUUGGACCGUGGGAGGAAACACACCGAGAAACAUCCAAACGCUAUAAAACUAUCAGUUACCACUGGGAAUUGGACCGCUGACCUUUGUGGUAAAAAAGGCACUCGACGAGCGAGCAUACUGCUGCUGCUGCUGCUGCUGCUGCUGCUGCUGCUGCUCUCCCACUCACAGCCCUGUUACUUCUCAAGAGAAUUAUUUAGAAUACGGCCCAGGUCUGGGACCAUUCUAAUUUCGCUGGAACUAUGGAGUACACAAAACUCAGGAGCAGCGAGGGGCCGAACAGCCGCCGCCGCCGCGGCAGCAGCGGGAGCCUCCAUCUCUCUGCCACCAACAGGCUGCUCCACCGGCACCAACCAACAGCAGAUUAUUUUUUAUUUUGUUCUCCGACCAUGAGGAAUAAAAAUGGAGCCAGAGAUUCUUUAGAGAGAGUGAUUGGUGUAAGAGGCAGCGCUGAGGUCACAGUCUAUUAGUGAUGUUCCCGGAGACAAUCAGAGGCCAGUCCUGUCCUGUCCCUCAUCGCUGCACCAAGACUCUCCGUCAGGAUGAUGUGAUGACGAUUCGUGCUGAUGAUAAGGAUCCGGUUCGAAGUCUCUCUCCUGGGGACCUGAAGUUUUUUUUUUAAAUGCUAAGGUACAAGGGCCAACAGAAAUAAUCAGCCAGACUUCAGAUAAAGCUCCUGAUAGCAGACGGUGAUUCCACUCUGACUGAGAGAUGGUCAAUCAAAAUCAGAAUCCGGUUAGAGGUUCUUUCAGUACUGUUGGAAUCUGAUGCUGCUCUCUGGAACUUAAGAUAACAAAGCAGGAUCACUUUUUUUUUUACAAAAGUUUAGUAGGUUCAGAGGUGUAAAGUAACAAAUUAUAUAUAUUCACGUAACUGCAGUUGAGUA